rnacentral:rRNA from 1 species
CCUACGGGAGGCAGCAGUGGGGAAUUUUGGACAAUGGGCGCAAGCCUGAUCCAGCCAUUCCGCGUGCAGGAUGAAGGCCUUCGGGUUGUAAACUGCUUUUGUACGGAACGAAACGGCUCUCUCUAAUACAGGGGGCUAAUGACGGUACCGUAAGAAUAAGCACCGGCUAACUACGUGCCAGCAGCCGCGGUAAUACGUAGGGUGCAAGCGUUAAUCGGAAUUACUGGGCGUAAAGCGUGCGCAGGCGGUUAUAUAAGACAGAUGUGAAAUCCCCGGGCUCAACCUGGGAACUGCAUUUGUGACUGUAUGGCUAGAGUACGGCAGAGGGGGAUGGAAUUCCGCGUGUAGCAGUGAAAUGCGUAGAUAUGCGGAGGAACACCGAUGGCGAAGGCAAUCCCCUGGGCCUGUACUGACGCUCAUGCACGAAAGCGUGGGGAGCAAACAGGAUUAGAUACCCUGGUAGUCCACGCCCUAAACGAUGUCAACUGGUUGUUGGGUCUUCACUGACUCAGUAACGAAGCUAACGCGUGAAGUUGACCGCCUGGGGAGUACGGCCGCAAGGUUGAAACUCAAAUGAAUUGACGG